GACGAACGCUGGCGGCGUGCCUAACACAUGCAAGUAGAACGCAGUUGCGAACGGGUGAGUAACGCGUAGGUAACUGCCCCAUAGCGGGGGAUAACUUUCUGAAACGAUAGCUAAUACCGCAUACUGUGAGAUGGACCUGCGUUGUAUUAGCGAGUUGGUGAGGUAAAGGCUCACCAAGGCGGCGAUACAUAGCCGACCUGAGAGGGUGAACGGCCAAACUGGGACUGAGACACGGCCCAGACUCCUACGGGAGGCAACAGGAGGGAAACUUCGGAAAUGGACGGAAGUCUGGCCGAGCAAAGCCGCGUGAGUGGAGAAGGUUUUCGGGUCGUAAAGCUCUGUUGUGAGAGAAGCGGUAACUACCCAGAAAGGGACGGCUAACUACGUGCCAGCAGCCGCGGUAAUAC
rnacentral:rRNA from 1 species